rnacentral:lncRNA from 1 species
GCCCUGGUUCUUAUUAGUCCCAUUUUACAGAUGUGUAAACUGACACUCAGAGAGGCGAAGUGACUUUCCUAUAGUGAAGUAGUAAAUGAUAGAGCCAAGAUUCCAACUCACUCCUUCCAGUGGAUUUUUGCUUCUGAAUUCACAGCAGUGCUGGCUCUAGAAUGCCAGUGAAGGAGAGACUUCAGGGCACAAACAGUCUGGUUGGAAGGAGGAGGAGGAGCAGUCGGGAGACUAGCCUUGAAUUCCUGCCUUCCUUUGGAUUGCAUAUCUCUUUGGAGUGGUUGGAGGUGGGAGGGGGCAUGCUGAGGUCAUAGCACAGUUUACGAGGAGAGGGCAGAGUUGAGGUGGGGAUUCUGAAUUCUAAGCUGAUUCUUGACCUCCAUCAGUACUGUCAACAAGACCCACCUGGAGGAAGCUAUCCUAGGGCUGGCAGGAGAGGUUUCAACUCUCCCGUCCAAGAGUCCUGUGGGUACCAGAGGCUGGGAGCUGUUGUGUCUUUCACCAACGAGGAAGUCAAUUAUGCACUGAAGGAGGAGGUGGAGAUGAAAUCUCAGUUUCAAGGCGGAGGUGUGUGGAGAGGAGAAAAAAAGACUGUGAGCAGAGGGAGGGAGUUCCUGCAAAGCAGUGCUUUCCUCCACUCCCACCCCAACGGCAGAAGAGGAGGCCUGGUGGGAAACGGGUGGGGGUGCAAGUGCAGUAACCAGCAGGCUGGCUGAAAGAAGCCUCUCGUGGGUAUUUAUAGAGCUCGCAUCGCCAUGGUACCCAGGCGCUUAAAUUAAAUUCCAUCCCAACUGCUUAGAGACGGGUGGAAUGAAAUGUUCUUUACCUGUCCACUGCUCGCGGUGUGACACCUCAUUCUCAGAAUUUCAGAUGAGCAAUCUGAGUGAAUUUUACAAGCUACCAACGAGUAGGGUUGAGGCUUAAACCCAGAUCACUUGCCUCAACAGGGUGGCUGGGUGGAGUAGUGGCAAGUACAUGGACAGAAAAAAAUAAAUCCGAGUGUGAAACUUGGCUCUGCAUCUCCAUUGAUGUAUGACUUUGGGCAUGAGACUGCACCUCUCUGAGCCCAGUUACCUUGUCUCUAAAAUGAGAACAAUGAUACCCGCCUGUCAACUUGUGACACUAAAUGAAAUGAUGUAAAUAAAGUGCCAGCUAAGCCCCUGAAACACAGGAGAUCUUUUAAAGGUGGGUUCCUUACCUUCUUGGCUCUUAAUUCAUUUAUUCACCAAGACUCUUGGCUGUCAGCUGUGUACCAGACGAUGGGUCAAGGACAUGGCAG